rnacentral:rRNA from 1 species
CCUACGGGUGGCUGCAGUGGGGAAUAUUGGACAAUGGGCGAAAGCCUGAUCCAGCCAUGCCGCGUGUGUGAAGAAGGCCUUCGGGUUGUAAAGCACUUUCAGUGGGGAAGAAAGCCUUGGGGCUAAUACCCUCGAGGAAGGACAUCACCCACAGAAGAAGCACCGGCUAACUCCGUGCCAGCAGCCGCGGUAAUACGGAGGGUGCGAGCGUUAAUCGGAAUUACUGGGCGUAAAGCGCGCGUAGGCGGUCUGAUAAGCCGGUUGUGAAAGCCCCGGGCUCAACCUGGGAACGGCAUCCGGAACUGUCAGGCUAGAGUGCAGGAGAGGAAGGUAGAAUUCCCGGUGUAGCGGUGAAAUGCGUAGAGAUCGGGAGGAAAACCAGUGGCGAAGGCGGCCUUCUGGACUGACACUGACGCUGAGGUGCGAAAGCGUGGGUAGCAAACAGGAUUAGAUACCCGAGUAGUC